rnacentral:lncRNA from 10 species
CACCCAGCAUGGUGUUGUGUGCUUCUUAGUUGAUAGAAAAAAUCGCCUCCCUUGGAGGAUAUAUAGUGUGGCUUCUGACAUCUUCCUUGUUUGUCUUGGAGUGAGAUUUCCCUUCCUUCCCUUCCCACAUCUGCUCAGUCAUUCAGCCAGUAACUAUUCGUCCGUGCACACCAUGGGCCAGGCUCUGUGCUAGACACAGGGGAUUGAGAGGUGAACACAGCAGUUGC